ensembl:lncRNA novel transcript
GGGUCAGUGCUUCUUUAGGGAGUAUGGGGAGAGGGACACAUCAUGUGUGGGAUGAGGCCGCAUGGAAAGCAGACGACAUCUGCAGGGGACACAUCUAUGAGGGUGUCUAUCACAAUUCUCCCAGUCUAAACAAGAAAUGAGAUUGGGAGACAUGUUGCUCUGCAGAAUUCCCAGGGGUUGGAACAGGAGGAUGAAAAAAGGCUUGAAAUUCUGACUGCAAGUGGGAAGAGAGCACCAGGCAGUUGACCCGGACGCUAAAGGAAAAGCUUCGUGAAAGUUUCUUGUAGUUUUCUUUGAUCUGUAUGACAGUUCAUUGUCCCGAAGAGCUAUGUCAUCCUUGGAUUUGAUGGCUUCACUGUGUACUCCUUUUUAUUUGAAAGAAAAAAGAAGCCAACUGAAAAGAGAUCUGAGCGCUGAUCCCCGUGAGAAAGGACAAAGUCACAUCCAAAGAAGCCGUUAUGCUGCCUUUGUUCCUGGACUCUACAGAGAUCCAUAUCCAGUGUGAAACAUCUCUCUGAUCACGUAUUAGAAGUCAGCAAAUAUCAUUGAAUGCAUGAAAUGAAUCAAUCCCAUGGAAAUUUAGUUUUAAACGAAGCUUUAUUGUGAAAGAUUUCAAGCAUUGGGAAGUAAAUUGCUGGGAGCAAGCCCCCCAAAAUCUGGCUAUAAACCAGCCCCAAAACUGCCCAUAAACAAAAUCUCUGCAGCACUGUGACAUGUUCAUAAUGGCACUAACGCCCAAGCUGGAAGGUUGUGGGUUUACGGGAAUGAGGGCAAGGAACACCUGGCCCGCCCAGGGCGGAAAACCGCUUAAAGGCAUUCUUAAGCCACAAACAAUAGCAUGAGCGAUCUGUGUCUUAAGGGCAUGUUCCUGCUGCAGUUAAUUAGCCCAACCUAGUCCUUUAAUUUGGCCCAUCCCUUCAUUUCCCAUAAGGGAUACUUUUAGUUAAUUUAAUAUCUAUAGAAACAAUGCUAGUGACUGGUUUGCUGUUAAUAAAUAUGUGGGUAAAUCUCUGUUCAGGGCUCUCAGCUCUGAAGGCUGUGAGACCCCUGAUUUCCCACUUCACACCUCUA